UACGGGGGGAGCAAGCGUUGUUCGGAUUUACUGGGCGUAAAGGGCGCGUAGGCGGCCACCGCAAGUCAAUUGUGAAAUCUCCGGGCUUAACUCGGAAAGGUCAACUGAUACUGCGGGGCUAGAGUGCAGAAGGGGCAACUGGAAUUCUCGGUGUAGCGGUGAAAUGCGUAGAUAUCGUAAGGAAGACCAGUGGCGAAGGCGG
rnacentral:rRNA from 1 species